rnacentral:rRNA from 1 species
GAUGAACGCUGGCGGCGUGCCUAAUACAUGCAAGUCGAGCGAACAGACGAGGAGCUUGCUCCUCUGACGUUAGCGGCUGACGGGUGAGGAACACGGGGAUAACCUAACUAUAAGACUGGGAUAACUUCGGGAAACCGGAGCUAAGACCGGACAAUAUAUUGAACAGCAGGGUACAAUAGUGAAAGACGGUGUUGCUGUCGAUUAUAGAUGGAACGGUGCCGCAUUGGCUAGUUGGUAAGGUGACGGCUUACCAAGGCAACGAGGCGUAGCCGCCCUGAGGGCGUCAACGGCCACCCUGCAUGUGAGACUCGGCCGCCACUCCUGCAGGAGGCCGCAGUCGAGAAUCCUCCGCAAUGGGGGAAUGCCUGACGGUGCACCGCCGCGUGAGUGCUGAAGGUCUUCCGACCGUUGAACUCUGUUAUUCGUGAAGACCAAAUGUGUAGGUAAAUGUGCACGUAUUGACGGUACCUUAGCAGAAAGCCCCGGCUAACUACGUG